rnacentral:rRNA from 1 species
GGGUUGUGAGGUUAAGCGACUAAGCGUACACGGUGGAUGCCCUGGCAGUCAGAGGCGAUGAAGGACGUGCUAAUCUGCGAUAAGCGUCGGUAAGGUGAUAUGAACCGUUAUAACCGGCGAUUUCCGAAUGGGGAAACCCAGUGUGAUUCGUCACACUAUCAUUAACUGAAUCCAUAGGUUAAUGAGGCGAACCGGGGGAACUGAAACAUCUAAGUACCCCGAGGAAAAGAAAUCAACCGAGAUUCCCCCAGUAGCGGCGAGCGAACGGGGAGGAGCCCAGAGCCUGAAUCAGUGUGUGUGUUAGUGGAAGCGUCUGGAAAGGCGUGCGAUACAGGGUGACAGCCCCGUACACAAAAAUGCACAUGCUGUGAGCUCGAUGAGUAGGGCGGGACACGUGGUAUCCUGUCUGAAUAUGGGGGGACCAUCCUCCAAGGCUAAAUACUCCUGACUGACCGAUAGUGAACCAGUACCGUGAGGGAAAGGCGAAAAGAACCCCGGCGAGGGGAGUGAAAAAGAACCUGAAACCGUGUACGUACAAGCAGUGGGAGCCUCUUUAAUGGGGUGACUGCGUACCUUUUGUAUAAUGGGUCAGCGACUUAUAUUCUGUAGCAAGGUUAACCGAAUAGGGGAGCCGAAGGGAAACCGAGUCUUAACUGGGCGUUAAGUUGCAGGGUAUAGACCCGAAACCCGGUGAUCUAGCCAUGGGCAGGUUGAAGGUUGGGUAACACUAACUGGAGGACCGAACCGACUAAUGUUGAAAAAUUAGCGGAUGACUUGUGGCUGGGGGUGAAAGGCCAAUCAAACCGGGAGAUAGCUGGUUCUCCCCGAAAGCUAUUUAGGUAGCGCCUCGUGAAUUCAUCUCCGGGGGUAGAGCACUGUUUCGGCAAGGGGGUCAUCCCGACUUACCAACCCGAUGCAAACUGCGAAUACCGGAGAAUGUUAUCACGGGAGACACACGGCGGGUGCUAACGUCCGUCGUGAAGAGGGAAACAACCCAGACCGCCAGCUAAGGUCCCAAAGUCAUGGUUAAGUGGGAAACGAUGUGGGAAGGCCCAGACAGCCAGGAUGUUGGCUUAGAAGCAGCCAUCAUUUAAAGAAAGCGUAAUAGCUCACUGGUCGAGUCGGCCUGCGCGGAAGAUGUAACGGGGCUAAACCAUGCACCGAAGCUGCGGCAGCGACACUAUGUGUUGUUGGGUAGGGGAGCGUUCUGUAAGCCGUUGAAGGUGGCCUGUGAGGGUUGCUGGAGGUAUCAGAAGUGCGAAUGCUGACAUAAGUAACGAUAAAGCGGGUGAAAAGCCCGCUCGCCGGAAGACCAAGGGUUCCUGUCCAACGUUAAUCGGGGCAGGGUGAGUCGACCCCUAAGGCGAGGCCGAAAGGCGUAGUCGAUGGGAAACAGGUUAAUAUUCCUGUACUUGGUGUUACUGCGAAGGGGGGACGGAGAAGGCUAUGUUGGCCGGGCGACGGUUGUCCCGGUUUAAGCGUGUAGGCUGAUUUUCCAGGCAAAUCCGGAGAAUCAAGGCUGAGGCGUGAUGACGAGGCACUACGGUGCUGAAGCAACAAAUGCCCUGCUUCCAGGAAAAGCCUCUAAGCAUCAGGUAACAUCAAAUCGUACCCCAAACCGACACAGGUGGUCAGGUAGAGAAUACCAAGGCGCUUGAGAGAACUCGGGUGAAGGAACUAGGCAAAAUGGUGCCGUAACUUCGGGAGAAGGCACGCUGAUGGUAGGUGAAGCGAUUUGCUCGUGGAGCUGAAAUCAGUCGAAGAUACCAGCUGGCUGCAACUGUUUAUUAAAAACACAGCACUGUGCAAACACGAAAGUGGACGUAUACGGUGUGACGCCUGCCCGGUGCCGGAAGGUUAAUUGAUGGGGUCAGCCGCAAGGCGAAGCUCUUGAUCGAAGCCCCGGUAAACGGCGGCCGUAACUAUAACGGUCCUAAGGUAGCGAAAUUCCUUGUCGGGUAAGUUCCGACCUGCACGAAUGGCGUAAUGAUGGCCAGGCUGUCUCCACCCGAGACUCAGUGAAAUUGAACUCGCUGUGAAGAUGCAGUGUACCCGCGGCAAGACGGAAAGACCCCGUGAACCUUUACUAUAGCUUGACACUGAACAUUGAGCCUUGAUGUGUAGGAUAGGUGGGAGGCUUUGAAGUGUGGACGCCAGUCUGCAUGGAGCCGACCUUGAAAUACCACCCUUUAAUGUUUGAUGUUCUAACGUGGACCCGUGAUCCGGGUUGCGGACAGUGUCUGGUGGGUAGUUUGACUGGGGCGGUCUCCUCCUAAAGAGUAACGGAGGAGCACGAAGGUUGGCUAAUCCUGGUCGGACAUCAGGAGGUUAGUGCAAUGGCAUAAGCCAGCUUGACUGCGAGCGUGACGGCGCGAGCAGGUGCGAAAGCAGGUCAUAGUGAUCCGGUGGUUCUGAAUGGAAGGGCCAUCGCUCAACGGAUAAAAGGUACUCCGGGGAUAACAGGCUGAUACCGCCCAAGAGUUCAUAUCGACGGCGGUGUUUGGCACCUCGAUGUCGGCUCAUCACAUCCUGGGGCUGAAGUAGGUCCCAAGGGUAUGGCUGUUCGCCAUUUAAAGUGGUACGCGAGCUGGGUUUAGAACGUCGUGAGACAGUUCGGUCCCUAUCUGCCGUGGGCGCUGGAGAAUUGAGGGGGGCUGCUCCUAGUACGAGAGGACCGGAGUGGACGCAUCACUGGUGUUCGGGUUGUCAUGCCAAUGGCACUGCCCGGUAGCUAAAUGCGGAAGAGAUAAGUGCUGAAAGCAUCUAAGCACGAAACUUGCCCCGAGAUGAGUUCUCCCUGAGACUUUAAGUCUCCUGAAGGAACGUUGAAGACGACGACGUUGAUAGGCCGGGUGUGUAAGCGCAGCGAUGCGUUGAGCUAACCGGUACUAAUGAACCGUGAGGCUUAACCUUACAACGCCGAAG